rnacentral:rRNA from 1 species
CCUACGGGAGGCAGCAGUGAGGAAUAUUGGUCAAUGGGCGCGAGCCUGAACCAGCCAAGUCGCGUGAGGGAAGACGGCCCUACGGGUUGUAAACCUCUUUUGCCGGGGAGCAACGGGCGCCACGCGUGGAGCCACUGCGAGUACCCGGAGAAAAAGCAUCGGCUAACUCCGUGCCAGCAGCAGCGGUAAUACGGAGGAUGCGGGGGUUAUCCGGAUUUAUUGGGUUAAAAGGGUGCGUGGGCGGAGCGUUAAGUCAGUGGUCAAAUUGAGGGUCUCAACCCCUUCCCGCCAUUGAAACUGGCAGUCUUGAGUACAGUAGAGGUGAGCGGAAUUCGUGGUGUAGCGGUGAAAUGCUUAGAUAUCACGAAGAACUCCGAUUGCGAAGGCAGCUCACUGGACUGCAACUGACACUGAGGCUCGAAAGUGUGGGUAUCAAACAGGAUUAGAUACCCUAGUAGUC